AUGCAAUUGAUGGAAAACAUAACUUUGUCUGAAUUCUUUUGAUGCUUCAAAGGAACCACUGAUGCAU
rnacentral:snoRNA from 1 species